GCUUCAUUGUUUAUGGCGACUUGUAAAAGGGCUCUUCUGUGUGUCCUCACAGUCCUUGUGAAAUAGGGAGCCUUAGAGAGUGAAAGUGAAGAGAAGGCAGUGGAAGCUGAGGGAAGUGGAGAAGAAAGGAAAAAGCUGGGGAACAUGAGCCAGAGGAGGCCGAGAAUGUAGAUGGACCGGCAACAGCGUUAGGCCCACUGGAGACCAGCAAGCACAGGCAGGAUGGUAAGUGACAGGAGAGGACGCCACCCAACUUGCAGAGGUUAGAUGUGUGCGAAAAUUUGCCACCUGGUCAGAGAAAGCAAGGUGGGUCACGUGCCAAUGUCAUAGCCAGGUGUGAGGAAGGCGCAUCUCAUACAAGGAUUUGAACCUCCAGCCCUCACACUUAUGGGCCACAAAGGAUGGAGCGCUUCUCUGCAGUCACACCUGUGUCUCCUGAAGCCAGACUCAACCAUUGGCACGGAGAUCCAUGACUGACCUUUUCCCUGACUGUUUCAAAUUUUGCCUUCCCUAUAAUCUUCAUGCUCCACUUAGAGUCAAUUCCUGCUCUGCAACAAAGGCAAGCGCAACUGAUAUUCAUAAGGCUUUCAUCAGGGGGAUGAAGUGAUAAAUAUCUUAGAUUAUCAGCACAAAUCAGAGAACCAUUCCAAAGGACUCUGCUAUUUUAGACGGUCUCUCUAUAAAAUGAGCCCCACAGCUGGGUGAGGUGGUACACACCUGUAACCCCAGCCCUCUGGAAGCCUGAGGCAGGAAAACUGCAAAUUCGACCCUGGCCUGGGAAAUUUAGAGUCACUUUUUCUUUUGGUACUGGGGAUCGAACUCGGGUGGGUGAAACCACUGAGCUAAAUCCCCGGCCCUGGCCUGGGAAAUUUAGUGAGUUAGUGAGACCCUGUCUCAAAAUGAAAAGGGGAAAAAUGAUCAAGGUGCAAUAAUGUAUAUGCACCAAUUCCCCGGGAUG
rnacentral:lncRNA from 1 species